UUUCAGACACCUCUCAAGAGCUAUUUUGCUGUUCAACCUUUUCUGGAUGCCCUCAAGGUCUGGAUGCUGCCAUCCUAUACCUGUAAUGUGACCAAAAAAACCAGUUCUCCUCCUGGAGCUGUGGGACAGUUUGGCCAUAGCCUUUUUAUGUACCCACAGGAAGGUGAUGAGUCCCCACUUCCAAUCUCUCUGAUUUAUCAGCAAGGUGAGUUUCCUGCUAUGGAAAGUAGAGCAGCACAACUGCCAAAGAAGGAGGAAAAGCUCUGCAAGGAGCAGGAGGAGAAAACCCAUUUGGAUGGGGAGAGGAACGUGCCAGAAACACAGAAGUCAGAGAGCAAGAGUUGUGCUGCCUCUUAGGAGGUGAACAAUAUAAAAAAACAAUGUCAUGAUUUCAGAUAUGGAAUAGACACAGCUUAACAAACAGCUCCAUGAAAUGCAAGAAAAGAAGAGUUGUGACCUACAGAUUUGGCAAACUUAGCUGUUGCUAUUUCAGAAGAUAAAAGUGUGCAUCCAUAAGGACAAGACCUGCAAAUGGAGAGAGCGUCUCUGAGCACACUCCCUUAAUGCUGAUUUCUGCACUGGUACCAAAGCUGCAGUAAACCUGAGAGGUGAACCUGUCCUCCAUUGGAGCCUGUGGGAUUUUGCCCACUGCAAUGAAAACAAUUGAAAAGGGCACUGUAAGGAACACUAUGCUGUAAAAAUCAUAUGCUUGCUGUUCUCAGUUUUGUACCUCUCACUGGUGAUUAAAAUGAAAGACUACAAAGACUCACAUCCUGUCUUUCAUUAAGUGUUCCACUGGCUUGCUGAGCAUUGCAGAAGAGGUACAGCAUUGCCUCAGUACUGUGCCAAGUUUUUCCUCUUUGAAGAUAUCAUUAAAAACACCUCAAAGUUCCUCUGCCUCACACAAUGUUGUUUUCAGGAAUUGCUUGAGGUAAGCAGAAAUGUAACUUGGUGUUAUAAGGUGAGUCAUUAGGAAAUGAGAAAAGAGAUGAAUUAAUGUGCUGUCCAUGAAAUUAGCAUUCUGAUAAUUGUUUGGUUUGUAAUUAUAUUGGGUUUAAUCUAACAAUAAUACUAAGAAAUUGCGGGUUUUAAAACCAUCCUUUGUUUGGGGGAAAAUUUUAAUUUCUUUAAAACAAUUCAUUUGCAUCUAUGCUUUUUUAAGUUUCUUUUUUUUUUUUUUUUUUUUUGCUAAACCUCGAAUGAGCUGUUUAUACAACAAAUACAUUAACCUGGAGCAUAGUUCCAUUUCAAGAAGAAUGAAGGACAAAAUUGAAUGUGCACCGUUCCUAAGACAAUAAAGAUGGUCGAGGUUGUGGAUUACAUGAGAACUCCAAUCCAUAUUACUGAACUCCACUACUGUGAAUUCAGUAGAAAUCAAAGGAUUACACUGUAAUUAUAUCAUAUGAAAAUGAAAAUAUCAUGUGGAAAGAGGAAGAGGACCUGGAAGAGCACAUGGAAGUGGUCAGUCGUUCUUUCAGAGACAGACUCUGAACCUUUCACAGCCAUUGUCAUGGUGAGGCUGUUGGCAUGGACUGGUCUCAUGGUGUCAGUGGGAGUGGGAAAGGAUCAUAGAAUAAUGGAUUUGUGAUUCUGCACAGAAGAGUUGGGAGAGCUGGGAAGGGAAGACACCUUGAAAAAUGCAAAGUUUGAGAUGAUGUCAAGGGAAGAGAACAGUUAUGUCACUUGUGCAGAAGAGCCUUCAAAAGAAAAAAAAUCUUCACAAAAACUGCCAGAAAUACCCACAAUUUCAUUCUUAUCAUUCUGAUCAUUGAGGCUGAUUGUGAGUCAAAUCUGUAUCUGCUGAGGAAGUUAAGUGAUGCACCCUCUAAUUAAGUCUCUGCAGCACUUUCCUCCUACAUAAAUGGGCUGGUGGGUUCCUGGUUGUUCCUGUGGCCACCAGUGCAGCUGAGGGACCCAUCUGAGUGACAGAUCUCUGUGGGAGAUCCCACCUUUAAUCCCUGCCAUCAGACUCUGCUGUCGUGACUGUGACUCUGCAUGGGAAGAGCCAAUUCUCCAGGAACACAAUUUAUUUCAGUGAUGUGUUCAUGUGAUCUGAGUAAUUCUGAGGUUCUUCUCUCAACUGUUUGAGUUUGAAAAGCAAAGACAGCCAAGAGGAAAUUGUUUUGGAGAGAAGUGAUAGCCAACCUGGGAUAGCAGUCAAGGAAAUUUCAGUGGUGACACAAUUCAGUUACAAGGAGCAGGGGCAGUAGGCUCGAUGUGAAGUCCACAGAAGUGAAGGGAUAAACCCUUAUCAGCUCUGGCCCAGCCUCUGACACAGCCCUCAGAGCCACUCAGGCUGAAAGAGGUAAACUGCUACAAGAUCUUCAAGGAACAAAGACUGAUUAAGGAUAAUCUUGUAGAAAAUGUUACCUUUUUUUGGAUUAAUUUAACAUGGGAAAUACUGGGGAAGUUCCUGCAGAUCCCUAGCAAGCUGGCCCACCACCACCAUUCCCAGGUGCUGCCCUGGCCACAGGGAGGAUGUGACCUUCAGGAAUGGGUGCUUGAGACUUUUCACCUUCUAAAACUGAGAUUUAUGAUCCAGUGACUUGAACCUUUCCUCUCCAGAGUCAGAGUAAAUUUUCUUGGAGGCAAAGCACCAUUCCCAACGCAGACAGCACCAUUCCCAAGGCAGCCGUGCAGAGGGAGCAGCUUGGCCACACGGUGGAGCGUUCGGAUCUCUGCAGGGAAAACCCAAACGCUGCUGCCUGCCAGGAGCCUCCAGCAGAGAGGGAUGUUGCAGGCUCACCUUGGGCAGUGCUCGACUUAGACCACACAGAAGGGACAGGCUAAGGACCAGCAGAGAUGCAGGAACUUUACUUAAUAAAUUUCUAAUAUAUCCUCCUUAACAUAGAAGCCCUCCCAGAGUGCAUAUUAAGACAAAGCUUUUGGCAUUUGUGCAGAGUUAAGGGAACAUCUGUGUUUGUGAUGGCAGAAGAUUCAUUGUGUGAUAAUAGAAACGGAGCCUCAAAGGAAAAUCCUUUUAUUCAUGAAAAGUGCUGCAUUCAGGUGAUCCUGUAUCCACAGCCUGGUACCCCCAGCUUUCCCAAGCACAGUGUUGAUGCAAUAUCCUGGAGGGCAAGAGGAAUAAACUGAUCUCUUUGCAGACAGUAAUUUGAGGAGCUGCAUUUGUGGUUUUUUUCUUGGACAAAUGAUGAUUAUUGUUUGCUAAUGAGUUAAGCAUUGUGUACCUAAACAAUCUCCUGGGUUUUUAAUAGGAUUACUUACAUUCCUUAUGCAGUGAAUUAAGCUCAUCUGAAUUUCCUUGUCCAUUUUUUAUGAACAUCUCCUUUGUAAAGAUGUUAGCCAAUAAAUGUAAGUGAACUAAUCUUACUAUUCCAAUGCCAAACCCUUUAAAAUUAGGGUGGGAUUUUAAGCCUGGGAAAUUGAAUGGAUGUCACAAAACCCAAGGAAACCAAAAAUAGGUUUUUAUGGAUGUCUGCUCCAGAUACAUCCCACCUCUUCCAGGCUUUUGACUAGCAAGGUUGUCCCAAAUAUCACCACUCUGUAAAG